GAGCACUCGAAGAUGCUAGAGGGGCCGAGGGAACGACAGGCUCGUGUCGGCGCUUGGUCCGAUGCUCUGUUUGUGGAGGCGGAGAGUCCUGCUCUUCGUCUUCCUCCUCUUCCUCGCUGGUCUCUUCCUCCGACUCCCCGCUGUCGGAGACAUAUUCAGCGCUCUCCACGCUGCCCUCCUGGCUGCCUUCCUCCUCCUCGGCCGGGUUCCCGUUCGAGACGGGGGAAAACCAGUUGGUUCACUCCUGCAUAGAAUUCAGUCGGCGACAUCAGACAUCA
rnacentral:lncRNA from 1 species